rnacentral:rRNA from 1 species
GAAAGAUUCAUCGGAAGAGGAUGGGCAUGCGGCGCAUUAGCUUGACGGCGGGGUAACGGCCCACCGUGGCGACGAUGCGUAGGGGUUCUGAGAGGAAGGUCCCCCACACUGGUACUGAGACACGGACCAGACUCCUACGGGAGGCAGCAGUGAGGAAUAUUGGUCAAUGGGAGAGAUCCUGAACCAGCCAAGCCGCGUGAGGGAAGACGGCCCUAUGGGUUGUAAACCUCUUUUGUCGGAGAACAAAACCCGGGACGUGUCCCGGACUGCGUGUAUCCGAAGAAAAAGCAUCGGCUGACUCCGUGCCAGCAGCCGCGGUAAUACGGAGGAUGCGAGCGUUAUCCGGAUUUAUUGGGUUUAAAGGGUGCGUAGGCGGUCCGUUAAGUCAGCGGUAAAAUUGCGGGGCUCAACCCCGUCGAGCCGUUGAAACUGGCAGACUUGAGUUGGCGAGAAGUACGCGGAAUGCGCGGUGUAGCGGUGAAAUGCAUAGAUAUCGCGCAGAACUCCGAUUGCGAAGGCAGCGUACCGGCGCCAGACUGACGCUGAGGCACGAAAGCGUGGGGAUCGAACAGGAUUAGAUACCCUGGUAGUCCACGCAGUAAACGAUGAAUGCUGGUUGUCCGGGUCGAAUGAGACCUGG